ACAAAAACAUGACUUUGACACACACCCUACCUCCUUUUAUUUUUUAUUUGUAAGGCACCAGAAAUACUUCCUUACUGCUUAAACGUUUCAUUCAUUUGUAGAUGUGUGUUUUCUUGUUUUUUAAACCUUUACAUUUUUUUUUUUUUAAACCAAGCUAUAGUAUUGGUUUCACUGACACAAACAUACAUCUGCCAAGUACACACUUAACAUUUUACACACAACACAAAAUAAGAGAACUGAAAACCAAAAAACAAAACGAAGAACAUUACAAAGCUUGUAAAGUUAAGACGCUCCAUUCCUUUAUUGUUGUCGAAGCCAGUUUGAAUAUUUCACAAUGGUAGACUAUGCUAUUUGUAUUUACUGUUUAAAGUAGAACUGGUACCCACCUAAAAUCACGCUGCCUUCCAUUGUACAAGUAUGUGUUUAUUUUUUGUUUUCAAUUUCUCGUCGCAUCUAGGAGGGGCACCCCUCAAAAUAAAAAAUAAAAAUAAUAUCCUGAUCAGGAACAGGUCAAUCAGCUUUUUAUAUUUCUGCUAAAGAUUAGAGAGAGAGGUGGAGAGUGGAGCUAGAGGAGAGGAGAGACGGAUACAGAGAGGGGGAGAGACCGAUACAGAGCGGAGGAGAGAUACAGAGAGGAGGAGAGAUACAGAGAGGUGGAGACGGAUACAGAGAGGUGGAGAGAUAGAGAGGUGGAGAGAUACAGAGAGGAGGAGAGAUAGAGGUGGAGACGGAUACAGAGAGGGGGAGAGACGGAUAGAGCGGAGGAGAGAUACAGAGAGGUGGAGAGACGGAUACAGAGAGGUGGAGAGAUCCAGAGAGGUGGAGAGAUAGAGAGGUGGAGAGAGAUACAGAGAGGAGGAGAGAGAUACAGAGAGGAGAGAGAUACAGAGAGGAGGAGAGAUAGAGGUGGAGACGGAUACAGAGAGGGGGAGAGACGGAUAGAGCGGAGGAGAGAUACAGAGAGGUGGAGAGACGGAUACAGAGAGGUGGAGAGAUCCAGAGAGGUGGAGAGAUAGAGAGGUGGAGAGAGAUACAGAGAGGAGGAGAGAGAUACAGAGAGGAGAGAGAUACAGAGAGGAGGAGAGAUAGAGGUGGAGAGACUGAUACAGAGCGGAGGAGAGAUAGAGUGUACCUAGAGAGAGCGGUAGAGACGGAUACAGAGCAGAGGAGAGACAUACAGAAUGGAGGAGAGAUACAGAGAGGAGGAGAGACAGAUACAGAAUGGAGGAGAGAUAGAGAGAGGAGGAGAGACGGAUACAGAGCGCUGGAGAGGCAGUGGUAUUUGACAUGCUGGAUCGAGACCCUUGAUGUUUGGGAAUGUGGUCAU